AACGCGAAGAACCUUACCAGCCCUUGACAUGGGACGUUUGAGUUUCAGAGAUGAGACUCUUCACUUCGGGUGGCGUCCACACAGGUGCUGCAUGGCUGUCGUCAGCUCGUGUCGUGAGAUGUUGGGUUAAGUCCCGCAACGAGCGCAACCCUCAUCUUCAGUUGCCAUCAUUCAGUUGGGCACUCUGGAGAAACUGCCGGUGACAAGCCGGAGGAAGGCGGGGAUGACGUCAAGUCCUCAUGGCCUUUAUGGGCUGGGCUACACACGUGCUACAAUGGCGGUGACAGUGGGCAGCGAAGGGGCGACCUGGAGCUAAUCCCCAAAAGCCGUCUCAGUUCGGAUUGCACUCUGCAACUCGGGUGCAUGAAGUUGGAAUCGCUAGUAAUCGCGGAUCAGCACGCCGCGGUGAAUACGUUCCCGGGCCUUGUACACACCGGCUAC
rnacentral:rRNA from 1 species